GGGUACGGCUUCGUAGGUGACCUGCGGAAGGACAUUACCAAUAUGAAAGCGGGUGGGGAGCCACAGAAGUCGGGGCCCUCGUGGCUCUACUUCUGCCCCAUCUGUCUGAAUAUUCACCCAUGUCUUUUGCGUACCCAUUGUUUCCUUGGCGGGCUUGCCCGCCAACAGGACAUUGUUAAACCUUUUGUAAUUGCAGUCAGCGUCAGAAAUAACUUAAUAGUUACAACUUUCAACAACGGAUCUCUUGGUUCUGGCAUCGAUGAAGAACGCAGCGAAAUGCGAUAAGUAGUGUGAAUUGCAGAAUUCAGUGAAUCAUCGAAUCUUUGAACGCACAUUGCGCCCCUUGGUAUUCCAUGGGGCAUGCCUGUUCGAGCGUCAUUUGUACCCUCAAGCUCUGCUUGGUGUUGGGUGUUUGUCUCUUCCGGGAGACUCGCCUCAAAACAAUUGGCAGCCGGCAUAUUGGUAUCGGAGCGCAGCACAAGUCGCGCUUCUGUCCAUAUUUGUUGGCAUCCAGCAAGACCAUUUUUCACUCUUGACCUCGGAUCAGGUAGGGAUACCCGCUGAACUUAAGCAUAUCAUAAAGCGGGAGGAAAACCACCCCAA
rnacentral:rRNA from 1 species